rnacentral:rRNA from 1 species
CCGCCCGUCACACCAUGGGAGUUGGUCUCGCUUGAAGAGAAUGAGCUAACCGCAAGGAGGCAAUUUUCGAUGGCAAGGCCGAUGACUGGGGUG